AUGAACGCUGGCGGCGUGCCUAAUACAUGCAAGUCGAGCGAACAGACGAGGAGCUUGCUCCUCUGACGUUAGCGGCGGACGGGUGAGUAACACGUGGAUAACCUACCUAUAAGACUGGGAUAACUUCGGGAAACCGGAGCUAAUACCGGAUAAUAUAUUGAACCGCAUGGUUCAAUAGUGAAAGACGGUUUUGCUGUCACUUAUAGAUGGAUCCGCGCCGCAUUAGCUAGUUGGUAAGGUAACGGCUUACCAAGGCAACGAUGCGUAGCCGACCUGAGAGGGUGAUCGGCCACACUGGAACUGAGACACGGUCCAUACUCCUACGAGAGGCACCAGUAGGGAAUCUUCCGCAAUGGGCGAAAGCCUGACGGAGCAACGCCGCGUGAGUGAUGAAGGUCUUCGGAUCGUAAAACUCUGUUAUUAGGGAAGAACAAAUGUGUAAGUAACUAUGCACGUCUUGACGGUACCUAAUCAGAAAGCCACGGCUAACUACGUG
rnacentral:rRNA from 1 species